rnacentral:rRNA from 1 species
UACGAGGGGGGCGAGCGUUUGUUCGGAAUUAUUGGGCGUAAAGGGUGCGUAGGCGGUUUGGUAAGUCUGAUGUGAAAUCUAUGGGCUCAACUCAUAGUCUGCAUCGGAAACUGCCGGGCUUGAGUAUGGGAGAGGUGAGUGGAAUUCCUGGUGUAGCGGUGAAAUGCGUAGAUAUCAGGAGGAACACCUGUGGCGAAAGCGGCUCACUGGACCAUAACUGACGCUGAUGCACGAAAGCGUGGGUAGCAAACAGG